ACCGUUGGCACACUGCAAGUUGUCGAUUUGGGCCCACUAGUGAAUAUUCUUUUAUUUAGAUCUCCGUCACAGCCCUUAUGUGCUGCUUAUUUCUCCUAGCAUAGACUUCUUUUGGUCCCCAACAUAACACAAAAUGACCUUUUAUAAGUUUGAACAAGUGAGGGUUCAAGAUCUAAAUUAUGAAGAAUUAACUAUCCCAUAAGUUUAAGUUAUUAGGUAAAGGCAUAAGAAUGGUUUUUAUAUUAUACUCACUCACCCAAAAACCCCAUGGGCCUGAAGUGUGGACAGUGCACAAGCCUAACUAUUCUGUGUGGGAGUUAAACCUUUUUUAGAAGAACGGUGAUGCCAUGGUACCCAAGCCUCUAUGACUAGGUUAUAUUUUUAACAUCUACCACUGUAAAUCAGUUGCAUCAAAUGUUUAUGGGGACAACAGUAGAUCCACUUUCAUAUUUUUUUUUCUUGUAUUAUUCAAUCUAUUAACUUUGAGAUUAACUCUUGUUUAUUUAUAUCACUUUGAUUUUGAGAGCAUGGUUCUGUCAAUGUUACUAGGGAGAAUAUAAUGUAGGAAAUUAAUAAAUUUUGAAGAUCUCAGUGGAAGUGCAAAGGUUGAACAAAGUAUCUUUUUCCCUGACAAGAUAAAAACAACAAAUUAACUCAACAAGCAUAUGAAAAAAGGAACUACAAUUGUAUCGAAAUAUUAUCCUUCAAGCUAAUUGUUAUCUAUCCGUGUAGGGGAUGUACUUACUCAGCAAUAUUGCAUGUGGAAAUGAGUCUCAUAAAGAAGCUGUCAUGCAGCUACUCUUUUCAAAAGCUGAAAACGGGUCUCACUCUUUCUUUAGCCAGCUUUUGCUGAGCAAUGACAGUCGUUUACGGCCAUCUGCCCUUUGGGUCAUAGUAAAUCUCACAUUUCCUUCAAGUCCUGGUGCAUUUGAUAGGAUUGUAAAACUGCGUAGUGUUGGAAUUGUUUCUCAAAUCAAGAAGAUGGUCAAUGAUCCUUGCAUGGAUGUGAAGCUUCGUGCUAGACAGGCACUUGGGCAGAUUAUUACUUAUGGUGAUAAUUAAUUGUGAUCAGUUACUUCAUUCAAAUCCCUUGAGCUACAGGCAAAGAGAAAUCUUGAUAGAACUCAUGUAAGGUGUAUCCAGUCUUGUGCUUCAGCAUCAAAUAUGGUGUAUAAAAUUACUUGUAUUUUUGAACCUAGUCAGAGCAGUGUGAAAGUUUUUUAAUUUUGUGAGCACUCCUGACCAGGUUACCCCAAAGCCUCUCUUGCUCACUUUGCAUUACCUUUUGAAGUCGGAGGAACAAAGUAGGAUUUUACAGCUUUUUUAGGUUGUACCAUACGAGUAGUAAAUGUUCAAUUUUAGAAUUUAGUUUCGAUUUCAUUCUGAUUCUGGAACACUGACAAAUGAGUGAAUUGUAUGUGUAAGCAAAAUGUCAAGGGGAUGAUCGAAAUUGAUCUGUGCGUGUCUUGUAAAAUUUAUUUUCUGGGUCAUCAGAUUACUCCUGUUUCUUUUGGAGGGGGUAAAAGCAAAUGACCAGUUUUUCUAACCAGUCCCAAAGAAUUAGUUUCAAAAAUCUGAAUGCUUGAUAGUGCAAAAAACGCGUUGUGAACCCAACUUGGUAUCUGUAUUUUUAGUAGCAACGCAUUAAUUAAUUAAUUUAUUAAGCUUAAUACAUGUCAUUUAAAAUGAGAUAGUUUACAAUGAUUGGAAUAACGAAACCUUGAAGUUCUGGCGAAAUACGAAGCUAUUUUUUGUCUUUGGAUGAAACUAACCAAGAAAUUUUAUAAUAAUAACA